UACGGAGGGUGCGAGCGUUGUCCGGAAUCACUGGGCGUAAAGGGCGCGUAGGCGGCCUGAUAAGUAGGGGGUGAAAUCCUGCGGCUUAACCGCAGGGCUGCCUUCUAAACUGUCGGGCUGGAGCACAGUAGAGGCAGGUGGAAUUCCCGGUGUAGCGGUGGAAUGCGUAGAGAUCGGGAAGAACAUCAGUGGCGAAGGCGGCCAGCUGGGCCGUUGCUGACGCUGAGGCGCGACAGCGUGGGGAGCAAACAGG
rnacentral:rRNA from 1 species